rnacentral:rRNA from 1 species
AUGGACCAUUCCAUCCCUUUUUCCCGUGCAUAUGCAUCGGACUCGGAUGACGAUGGUCCCGAUGAACAAGUUGAUGCGGAGGGGUUCACGGAUAAGGAGGCCGAAGCUUUCGAGAAGGUAUUUGGUCGGGAUCAUCGGACUACAUUGUUCAAGGAUGUUAGUCUCGCGGAUGAAGUCGUGGUAGAUGGUGGCCAAUGUGUACCUCUUGGGGUUAGGCCAAGCUCUCACCGUGAUUUGGUAGACGACAAGAACCGGAUUGCUAAAGGUUCUAAGUUCGACAGCUUGUUGGAUUUGAAGAUGUGGCUCGACAACUACUCGGUUACGCAUUAUCGUCCACACAAGGUGGUGCACUCGGACGUCAAUGUGCGCUACACGGUUGCAUGUGCAUGUGAAGAUGAAAAGGAGGUCCAACUUGGACUUACAAGAGGCCGUGGUGGUGGUAGAGGUCGUGGAAAGGAGGUCCAACAAGGAGUGGCAAGACGCCGUGGCGGUUGUCCGUGGAUUGUGCGUGCAAGACCAUGGAAAGGAGGUCCUACUUGGCAUGUAGUGAGUUGUGUGCCAACUCACAUGUGCCAAGGCAAAAGGGUGGAUGGCAAGAUUGUGUCCGAAGACCACAAACAACUCACGUCCGAGUUCAUAGCUUACAGGCUCUCCAACUCAAUAUCCACACUUCCAACAAUGAGCGUCCAACAUGUCAUUGACCUUGUGAAAGCCAUCUUUCAUUACAAGGUGAAAUACGGCAAGGCAUGGAAGGCGAAGCAAGCCGCAUUUAAGAUGUUGUAUGGUACAUGGGAGGAAGCAUACAAUUGA